ACAUUCUGCUGUUUCUUUCUUUCUGCUUUCUAAUCAGCAUGAUGACGUAAUUUGUGACGUACGGCAUUCCAUAAAAAAAAAACUAGCUUUGGUUCCAUUAAAGUAAAUUUAUAUCACUUAGUCAUCAACAUUCGUCUUUGAAGCGGAGAUACAUUUUCAAGGUAAAAAUUUGAACGACGAAAAUUAUAAAAACUAAGGUAUUUCCCGAUUCUUGGAUGAAUACGAAACUGAAUAGCCAGGUUCCAUUUGCACUUCCUGUUACAGAGAAAAAAAAAACGAGUCAGCGAGAGCUCCCUUCUAUGGUUUGUUCCAGACUUUCCUUCUGGAUGAUUGUGAUCUAAUUCCUUAAAACAAUGGUUCUACGUAACGCAGCCAGGUGAAUCGAAUGGUCUUUUUAUGUUCAGUGACAUCUAUUUGAAGGUUUACUAAAUUUUGAGAAACGCUUGUCAGGACACAAGACUGAAAAAGACGUACUGAAAAACUGCCUGUAAACACAGCUAUCAUUAAAGUCAAUGGAUUACCUAGGAGCAUCCAAGCAAUAUGAUAUCAGAGACUGGCAAUUUACAUCACUCAAUGUGGCAGAAAAACCUAAAUAAAUAUUGAAAUGUUCAAUUUCUUUGUUCAUUGCUUUUUUCUCUUGUAUAUGAAUAUGGCAUGAUAUUUAUGUGAAUUUCGCACAAUUUUUACAUGAAAAACUGAUAAUUUGGAAUUCGCAUGAAUAUCAUGCGAAAUUUUAGUCACAUGAAAAUUGCAUGA